rnacentral:rRNA from 1 species
UGGGGAAUUUUGGACAAUGGGCGAAAGCCUGAUCCAGCAAUGCCGCGUGUGUGAAGAAGGCCUUCGGGUUGUAAAGCACUUUUGUCCGGAAAGAAAUCCUUGGCUCUAAUACAGUCGGGGGAUGACGGUACCGGAAGAAUAAGCACCGGCUAACUACGUGCCAGCAGCCGCGGUAAUACGUAGGGUGCAAGCGUUAAUCGGAAUUACUGGGCGUAAAGCGUGCGCAGGCGGUUUGCUAAGACCGAUGUGAAAUCCCGGGCUCAACCUGGGAACUGCAUUGGUGACUGGGCAGGCUAGAGUAUGGCAGAGGGGGGUAGAAUUCCACGUGUAGCAGUGAAAUGCGUAGAGAUGUGGAGGAAUACCGAUGGCGAAGGCAGCCCCCUGGGCCAAUACUGACGCUCAUGCACGAAAGCGUGGGGAGCAAAACAGGAUUAGGAUAACCCUGGUAGUCCACGCCCUAAAACGAUGUCAACUAGUUGUUGGGGAUUCAUUUCCUUAGUAACGUGAGCUAACGCGUGAAGUUGACCGCCUGGGGGAGUACGGUCGC